ensembl:lncRNA
AACAAAAGUUGAUAUAUGGAUGGUUGGGUGUAUACUAUAUUUAUUGUUGUUUAAAAUUCAUCCUUUUCAAAAUAAUAAUGUUUUAUCGAUACUUAAUUGUCAAUUUACAAUUCCUAAUAAUGCGAAAUGCUCAAAAAGAAUGUUGUCUAUUUUGCUUAUGACUUUGCACAAGAACCCAGAGAAAAGAAUUGAUUCUACUACUCUUUUAUUUAUUUUAGAAAAUUAUGCUGAUUUGAAAAAAUGGUUUACAUAUAUUCCAGUAGAAAUUCGAAAAAAAGUAAAUGAAAUUUUCGACAGAAUGUCAGAAAUUAAUUUACAAAAUAAAAAAAAUGAGUUUAUAGAAAUUACAAAUGAUGUAAAUAUUGAAAUUAAAAUUAAUUUGAAAAAUUAUGAUAUCCCUACGAAUAAAAAAACUAGUGGGUUUUUGGCUAGUUUUAGUACAAGGAAUUUGACUGGUGAGACAUUCAAAAAGAAAGUUCCUAUACAGGUAACUACAACUAAGGAAGAAGAAAAUGGUGUGAAUAAUAAAACGAGCACCGCUGAAAAAACUAGCACCGCUGAAAAAACUAGCACCGCUGAAAAAACUAGCACUGCCGAAAAGACUAGCACUGCCGAAAAGACUAACACUGAUGUUUUUAGUAACACUCUUAACGUCCCUAAUCAUAAUAAUCAACUAUUAACUGAAAAAAUAGAAUUAGACAGAACAAAUAACAUAUCAAAAAUGACAUUAACAAGUUUUGGUACUGAUAACAAUAUAUUAUAUAUGAAUUCGAAUGAACCCAAAGAAAAUAUAGACUAUUCAAAUGUUAAUAAUAAAACAGAACUAUUAAUACAACUUGAUAAUAGUGAUGAUGAAGAAAACAAAAGUAGCAAACUAUUUGAAAAUAAGACACAUGCAUGUAAUCAAAAUUUAUUGGAUUUUGAUUUUAAGGACAAUAAGGAAAGCAAAUGUGGUUCUUAUAAUAUGGAUAAUAUGCCUAGUAUGGGUAAUAUGCCUAGUUUGGGUAAUAUGCCUAGUUUGGGUAAUAUGCCUAGUAUGGGUAAUAUGCCUAGUAUGGGUAAUAUGCCUAGUAUGGGUAAUAUGUCUAGUAUGGGUUAUGGUAAGUUAGACUCGUUUUUUGACCCAUGGAAUUUUUCAGAAGAAAGUGAUGCAGUAAAUGCAAUAAACAGCUUGGCCACUUUUAGCUCAAUGAAACAAAAUUAUGAAAAUAAUUUUUUUAAUGAAAAUUUAACCAGAUUUAAUACAAAUUUUAAUGAAAAUGAUAUUAGUAAUUGUGUUAACAUGAAUAAUAAUCGUAGCAUAAUCGAUGAUGGUUGUAAUACCAUACCUUUAAAUCUGAACACAAACGACAAUAAUUUAUUUAGUAACAGCACAGGAAGUGUCAAAUCACAACAAAACAAAACAUCGGAACAUAAUGAUAAGCAAAAAAAUGAAAACCUAAUUGGGUAUAAUAAAAAUUUAUACUAUACAAAUAAUGUAACUAAAAAUUAUAAUGAUGAUGAUUAUGGAUAUUCUAAAAAAGUGUUUUUAACAAAUGAUACUUUUUGUUCUUUAGAUGAAUUUGAAAAUAUAAAUAAAAAUAGCAGUACUUUUUAUGGUAUUGAUAAAACUAAAACUAAAAAUCAAUCAGAUAUUUUGCUUUCUUUAAAUUCUGAUAAAUGUGCUUCCACUUCUAUUAAUAAGUCUUCAAAUGGUUCUACAAUUUUUAUACCUUCGGAUAAAAAUCAAAAAUUUGCAGAGUUCCUAGAAGAGUUUCAAAAGAUGUCAAUUCCGUGAUGGUGGAAGUCGGCGCCUACAUGCGCAUACUUAUAUGCAUAUACAAAUCAUUUUACGUAGUUUUAUGUAUCUUAUGUUUAUGUUUAAGCACACACAUGCACGUAUCUAUAUACGUACGUAUGUAUAUACAACCUUUUGGUGUACGUAUUUUACUUAUCCAUACGCUUCUUACUUUUUCGUAUUUUUCAAAAAUGAAAAAUGAAAAAUUGCCAUAUCAUAGAGUAAUAACAAAAAAAAAAAAAUAAAAAAAAAAAAAAAUAAAAAUAUAUGAAAU